rnacentral:rRNA from 1 species
ACGCUGGCGGCGUGCCUAUACAUGCAAGUCGAACGCUUCUUUUUCCACCGGAGCUUGCUCCACCGGAAAAAGAGGAGUGGCGAACGGGUGAGUAACACGUGGGUAACCUGCCCAUCAGAAGGGGAUAACACUUGGAAACAGGUGCUAAUACCGUAUAACAAUCGAAACCGCAUGGUUUUGAUUUGAAAGGCGCUUUCGGGUGUCGCUGAUGGAUGGACCCGCGGUGCAUUAGCUAGUUGGUGAGGUAACGGCUCACCAAGGCGACGAUGCAUAGCCGACCUGAGAGGGUGAUCGGCCACAUUGGGACUGAGACACGGCCCAAACUCCUACGGGAGGCAGCAGUAGGGAAUCUUCGGCAAUGGACGAAAGUCUGACCGAGCAACGCCGCGUGAGUGAAGAAGGUUUUCGGAUCGUAAAACUCUGUUGUUAGAGAAGAACAAGGAUGAGAGUAACUGUUCAUCCCUUGACGGUAUCUAACCAGAAAGCCACGGCUAACUACGUGCCAGCAGCCGCGGUAAUACGUAGGUGGCAAGCGUUGUCCGGAUUUAUUGGGCGUAAAGCGAGCGCAGGCGGUUUCUUAAGUCUGAUGUGAAAGCCCCCGGCUCAACCGGGGAGGGUCAUUGGAAACUGGGAGACUUGAGUGCAGAAGAGGAGAGUGGAAUUCCAUGUGUAGCGGUGAAAUGCGUAGAUAUAUGGAGGAACACCAGUGGCGAAGGCGGCUCUCUGGUCUGUAACUGACGCUGAGGCUCGAAAGCGUGGGGAGCAAACAGGAUUAGAUACCCUGGUAGUCCACGCCGUAAACGAUGAGUGCUAAGUGUUGGAGGGUUUCCGCCCUUCAGUGCUGCAGCUAACGCAUUAAGCACUCCGCCUGGGGAGUACGACCGCAAGGUUGAAACUCAAAGGAAUUGACGG